rnacentral:misc_RNA from 1 species
AGGCAAGCAUGACCCAAACCUUUUGCUGUGAAAGUUUAUAAAUAUCUCUUCAUUUUAAGCAUAAUUUAAUGUGCAUAUAUGUACUUGCAAGUGUAAUGAUAUAAUAGUGCUAUAAUGUUUUCUUUCCAAUGACAUGCGUCUUUUGUACCAGUAUAUUUACAUGACAGCUAUAUAACAGCAACGACAUUUCUACCAUGAACUUUUUAUAUUGUGAAGUAUGCAACUAUUGAAAUCUAUAAUUUUUGAGAAUGCUAGCCUGUACUUAUUUCUAUAAAAAAAUUUAUUCUUAUAUCAACUUCCGGUACAUGUAUAUGUGUAUCUUUGUAGUGCCAUAUUAUUCAUUGAUUUUUUUUAUUAUAUUUUUGAUUAUAUACAAUGUAUUGUCAAUAAAAUCCUUUUUAAAAAGUU